UGAUACUUCUGGUAAUUGGCUUUAUAGACUUUGGAAGACGCUAACAUCUUUUUUUAAUUCUUCUUCCUCCGUUUAAAUAAAAAGAGAAAGUAUCAUGAAGGACAACUUUUGACAACAUCUUAAUGAACUAUUGUUAGACACUAUGAAAAAUGUACUUACUACUUUGAUUAUUUUACUGAUUUUUAAUAUAUUUAUACUUUAUUAUACGUAUAAAUAUGA
rnacentral:lncRNA from 13 species